CAAUAGCGUAUAUUUAAGUUGUUGCAGUUAAAAAGCUCGUAGUUGGAUUUUGGGUCGGGGCGUCCGGUCCGCCGUUCCGGUGUGCACUGGUGGCCCCUUCCUUUCUGCCGGGGACGUGCGUCGCACUUAAUUGGGUGGCGUUCGGAGUCGGCGUUGUUACUUUGAAAAAAUUAGAGUGUUCAAAGCAAGCCAUCGCUCUGAAUACAUUAGCAUGGAAUAACAUGAUAGGACUCCGGUCUUAUUUUGUUGGUUUCCGAGACUGGAGUAAUGAUUAAGAGGGACAGUCGGGGGCAUCCGUAUUUCAUUGUCAGAGGUGAAAUUCUUGGAUUUAUGAAAGACGAACUUCUGCGAAAGCAUUUGCCAAGGAUGUUUUCAUUAA
rnacentral:rRNA from 1 species